CAAUCCUUCCUUUUCUCUCUUCACCUCUUCCCCGCUGAACUCCCUUAUCCCGAUUCCUUUUCUCUCCUCCCAAUUCGUCGCCUCUUCCUCCUCGAGCCGACCGCCAGCCGACGAGCGCUAGCACCAACAGCUACGAGGGUUGGGUACCCACAGCACAACUCCCAUGGUCGUCGGCAUAGGUUGCAAUCACGAUGGGGGCGACAGCCAGCCCUUCUGCGGCCUACUCGCGCCGCUAGUGCUCCACAAUCUGGCUAAGGUUCGGUGUUGAUCAAUCACUGUUGGUUGGGGGAGAGCAGGUCACAGCCGUCUCCUCUCCUGAUCCCCCCACCGCUGAGACCUUCCAUCGUCUGAUCCAGCCACGACUGCCGGCAAGCCGAUCCCUCGUUGACGCCAAGCCCCCUCACUGAUGCCAUCACCCACCACAACACCACCUAGCGUCGAUUUUCCCUCUUUGCACCUGCGCUCCAUAGCUAUCGAUCCAUCAAUUUGGAGUUUCACCUAGCAACAGUCAUCCUUUCUGGCAGCAAGAAUCCCGACUGUGAGUUAACAGGGGAGAGCUUCACUUCUAUUGUUGCUAUGAGUGGAUUUCUUCUUCAAGCGACUGUGGAUCAAAUUAGGGUAACAGGUAGAUGAGUCAUGGAUGCUUGGAGAGUCCCAGCUGCCAGUCCCACGUCACACUCGAGGAUAGUUUUGUUUUUGGUUUUGUUACUGAUUAGGUGGUAUGUUGAUUUUGCGUAUUUUGUUUUCCAAUAAGUCGAUGUGGAUUUUGGAGUCUAGUCUGGUGGUUGCAGGUAUUUUAGUUAGUGGUUUUGUUGGUUUUAUAUUCGUAUUAUUUUAUGGUUUUCCGCUCCGUUUACUUUCAUCCAUGUGGGUCGUUAUUAUACUGCGUGGUUGUGUGUUUACUUUCAGCCGUGUGAGUUGUUAUUAUAAUGCAUGGUUGUGUAUUUACUUUUA